UUUGUACCGACUGUAUCUCGUUCCUUUCGCGGCCGUGACAAUUUUAUUUAAAGAUUAUCCUCGAAAAGGCGUCUUCCGGCAAGGCAAAAAAUGCACAAAUACGGCGUUAUUGCAAAAACUCUAAUUUGGAAUCAAUCAACAGGGUGAAAUCACCUCUCCGGCAGGACGUCUGACGAAUGCUAAGCAUAUCCGGAGUACGAGUCACCAGGAUGAGUGGCCAGGGCGGCAUCCAAUAAAGGUCAAAAGCAGCACAAAUGCAGUUAAAAUGGAUCCAAUGGCAAACUUCUCCCACAAACGAUUCACCCAGUGGGGACUCCAAUUGGAUGGAACUGUACGGUGCCUUUCGGUGCCCAUCAGCAACAGUGAGAUCCUUGGCCAACACAAUCUUUCGCUUCAUCAAAGGUAACUUCGUGAUUCGACACCAGAUUGGCUGCACGGGUGCAGCGCAAAACGAGGCGCAAAUAAAUCCUACAUCUAAUAGAUCCCGCAGACGAAAUUCACAGCAGCAACGCCAACCAGACAGGACCGCCGGCUACCAUUCGAUGACUAUCGUCAACGGAAAGAUGAUCCGCACCUUUCUCAACGCAUCUCCUGGGCGCAGUACCCGCCCGUGAAACAUUUAGCUUCGGAUUCGGAACUUAUUCCGUCCCCCUUCCAGAGAGAUCCUAUUGGAAGGAUAAGACGGUCCUGUUUUCCUAAAAGGAGCGGUUGGACCAUAGCCGUUUAGAACGGCGGCGUCCAAGCUCCUCUCGGCGGCGCGGCAUCACACGAUGCCAAAUCCCGGUGGUGCCUUCGGGUAUUGCCGCGCCGAUCUCCCGAGGGGGCCCUUCAUUGGUUUAUACCAGUUAGGGCAUUGGGCGUCGGCAGCCGCAACA